AAACAAUUAUUCGAAAAAUCUUUAUAAACUAAAUUUAAAAUUGAAAUGAAUAGAAUAGAAACUUUAAUUUUCUAAAACCUUAUUUAUGAAAUAGUUUCUUUUUAUUAAUUGCUUAUUGCUUUCCAAUAUUUUUAUGCCGCCGGUUUCUCGUCCACCACAUAAAAAAAAAGAGAUAUUUUGACAUAACUUAUCGCCAUCUGGAAGAUCAUGCUACACGGAUGGAUCAAAGCUAGAGAACAGAGUGUGCCUGGGGGUCCACGUUAAGAAAGCAGGGACUGAGAUCUGUUUUAGACUGCCUGAUCAUAAUACGGCCCUGCAGACGGAGAUUCGGGCGAUAACAAAAUUCGUGAGGAAGUGAACAUCAUUACGGGCAGUAAAAUGGUCAUAAGGGCUAUAACAACCUGGACGGUAAGGUCACGAAUAUUCUUACAGUGUAAGAUUUACGCCUUCUCUGAGGAUGGCAUAAUCAGCAUCGUUUGGGAUCCGGGCCAUAACGGAGUAAGGAGGAAUGAAAGUGCAGACGAUUUAGCAGUAAGGCUAAAUCGGGUCGACGGAGUCCUAGUUGAGGGCGUGGGCGACGAACGCGCAUGAAACACUGUGGUACAGCGAAACAGUCCGUAGGACGGCUAAAAUCCUAUGGGGACACACGGGUCUACGAGUUCACCUAUGCAAAAUCGAUGCGGCAAGUGAUAGCAUGUGGGGAAGAUGAUGAGACUUUGGAGCAUUUCCUAUGUCAUUGCCCGGCUUUCGAUGCUAAAAUAUACCGGUACUUAUGUGGGGACACAAUACCAGACAUGAACCAACUUAGGGGAAUAGUUACUUUUUAGUUUUAAGAGCGCUUGAUUACUGGCUUAGGUGCAGGUCUAUAGUGGCAAGGGGCGGAUUAAUAUCCGCACCCUUUUCAAACUAACCUAAUCUAUCAAGGUUUUUGCUACAAAUAUAAAUACCCCUAUUCCGGUUGGCGAUGGGGUUGUCGAAUCUCCAAAUUUUUACAAAAUGGUAUUAUGGUUAUCGAAGACGAAAAUUCGUUCACAUUUUUGGUAUCACGUAACGCAAGUCGAAUUCUCCUGUGCAUUUUACGAAAACGAUCGAUAUAUAAGUUAA